GGGCCAUAAGGCGCGCCGAAGUUCUGCGCGCCAUAGCCAGGACCACAACUCGAGUGCGAGUAGGAAACCCCAAGGUUCGCAGAAGUCUGGGCCAGAGAAGAAAAAUGAUAUGAAUGUACAGUGCGCGCAAGAGGCGGGGCGGGAAGGCGGAGGGCUCCCGGGGACGGCCACGUGACUCUGCCAGCCAAUGGCUGAGCUGCCUGCGAAAGUUUACGGGCUGCGGCUAUGAUGGAUCACCGUUUCAGUGGCAUUUAAAUCCCCGGCGCUCCUCAGUCUAGGUGACGCGCGCUCGCCCCCCCAGGCAGCCCGGGCCUCGGCGGUAGCUGCGGUCGCUGCCAGAGCUGACUUGAAGCGCUGGGGCCAAAGGAAGUGGAGCCUGCCUUCUGCGCGCGCCCGACUCUGCUCGCCUCCGCCUCCAGGAAUUGGGGGCGGGGAGGGGGGGACGGAUGCGAGGCGAUUCUCGCUGCCCCUUCCCCACCCAGCCCAGAAAGCUGAACUGGCAAGAGGUCUGUUUUGCCUGAACCCAUCAACAGCUGGGAGAUUAAUCAGCCACACUGAAAAUGGGGGUGAGGGAAAGGAGGAGUUGGAAUAGAUGUUUGAAACAAAUGUGUGUAAAUAAAUGAAUUUCUGAUAACUUGGCUAUCGACCUAGAGGCUGGGAGCUCGCUAAGGGACCUCCACUUUACUCGUCCGGGAGUUUCUGUAGGCACUUUAUUUCUCCACUUUCAGAAGCUUGGGCUGGGGCCAGCUCAGGCUGCCCGGCCCUGUUUCUAUUGCUGAUUUAACUCUGUGGCCUGAGUCUCUGAAACCCAAAUCUGUUCCCUUAGGGGGGAAAAAAACACUUGCCAAAAGCCCUAGCCGCUUUCUGGCUUUCUUCUCUGUUGCUGUCUAUUGCAGACUUUGAACAUGCCACCCUAAUAAAAUAUAUUAAAAUUGAAAAA